CCUACGGGGGGCAGCAGUGAGGAAUAUUGGUCAAUGGGCGAGAGCCUGAACCAGCCAAGCCGCGUGAGGGAUGAAGGUACAGAGUAUCGUAAACCUCUUUUGUCAGGGAACAAAGGCGGGGACGUGUCCCCGGAUGAGUGUACCUGAAGAAAAAGCAUCGGCUAACUCCGUGCAAGCAGCCGCGGUAAUACGGAGGAUGCGAGCGUUAUCCGGAUUUAUUGGGUUGAAAGGGUGCGCAGGCGUUCGGUUAAGUCAGCGGUCAAAGCCCGGGGCUCAACCCCGGCCAGCCGUGGAAACUGGCAGGCUCGAGUUGGAGAGAAGUAGGCGGAAUUAGCGGUGUAGCGGGGAAAUGCAUAGAUAUCGCGCAGAACUCCGAUUGCGAAGGCAGCAUGCCGGCUCCACACUGACGCUGAGGCACGAAAGCGUGGGUAUCGAACAGGAUUAGAUACCCGAGUAGUC
rnacentral:rRNA from 1 species